UCUCCUGGGAAACGGGUGGUAAUGCCGGAUGUUCCACAUGAUCGCAUGUGAUUGUGGGAAAGAUUUCAUCGGCGUGGGAUGGGGUCGCGUCCUAUCAGCUUGUUGGUGAGGUAACGGCUCACCAAGGCUUCGACGGGUAGCCGGCCUGAGAGGGCGACCGGCCACAUUGGGACUGAGAUACGGCCCAGACUCCUACGGGAGGCAGCAGUGGGGAAUAUUGCACAAUGGGCGCAAGCCUGAUGCAGCGACGCCGCGUGAGGGAUGGAGGCCUUCGGGUUGUAAACCUCUUUUGUUUGGGAGCAAGCCUUCGGGUGAGUGUACCUUUCGAAUAAGCGCCGGCUAACUACGUGCCAGCAGCCGCGGUAAUACGUAGGGCGCAAGCGUUAUCCGGAUUUAUUGGGCGUAAAGGGCUCGUAGGCGGCUCGUCGCGUCCGGUGUGAAAGUCCAUCGCUUAACGGUGGAUCUGCGCCGGGUACGGGCGGGCUGGAGUGCGGUAGGGGAGACUGGAAUUCCCGGUGUAACGGUGGAAUGUGUAGAUAUCGGGAAAGAACACCAACC
rnacentral:rRNA from 1 species